GUGAAUGGAGUCUUCCGAUUGGCUAGCCCUGGAGCACACCCUCCUACCCAGACUUGACGGAUUCCCACCAGAGAAGCCCGAGGGCUGGCCGAGGAAGCUCAGCUGGCGCCGCCGGCCUGGUCCUUCCUCUCCUCUCCGCCCGUCACAAAGUCAGGGGAGCCACUGGACACAGGGAGGGGGCCGAGCAGCCAAAGCCACCCGCCCACUGCUUUGAGUGGAAAGAGAGUUGGCAGAUAAUUGGAGAAUCAUAUGCCUGGAAUACGGUUAAUGCAAAUGCACGUCUUUACACUCUGCCCGAGGUGGCUCCACAGCAGAAGGAUCAUGCUGGAGCCCAAGGAACCAACCGUAAUUUUAAUUCUGUAUUAAAUUUUGUUUGAUUGAACUGUA